UACGUAGGGGGCUAGCGUUGUCCGGAAUCAUUGGGCGUAAAGCGCGUGUAGGCGGUUCGGUAAGUCCGCUGUGAAAGUCGAGGGCUCAACCCUCGAAUGCCGGUGGAUACUGUCGGACUAGAGUGCGGAAGAGGCGAGUGGAAUUCCAGGUGUAGCGGUGAAAUGCGUAGAUAUCUGGAGGAAUACCGGUGGCGAAGGCGGCAUCCUGGACCGACAUUGACGCUGAGGAGCGAAAGCUAGGGGAGCAAACGGG
rnacentral:rRNA from 1 species